rnacentral:misc_RNA from 1 species
CAGUGUUAGGCUUCGGCCUCAUUCACACCCCUUGUGGAACCUCUGGUUUCUUUGGCGAUGUCAUGGACUCGUCAAACUUUAACUCUGGGAAUGCGAUACUGUCCGAGUGCAAUCGAAUGAUUA